rnacentral:tRNA from 1 species
UCCUGGUUAGCUGAGGUGGUAGAGCGCUCCACCUGUAAUGGAGAGGUCCCGGGUUCGAUACCAGGACCAGGCG